UGAGCUCAAAUUUAAAAUCUGGCGGUUUCACCGUCCGAGUUGUAAUCUGGAGAAGUGCUAUCUGUGCUGGACCGUGUAUAAGUUUCCUGGAACGGAGCGUCAUAGAGGGUGAGAAUCCCGUCUUUGCCACGGAUCCCCAGUGCUCUGCGAUGCACUCUCGAAGAGUCGAGUUGUUUGGGAAUGCAGCUCAAAAUGGGUGGUAAAUUCCAUCUAAAGCUAAAUAUUGGCGAGAGACCGAUAGCGAA
rnacentral:rRNA from 1 species